rnacentral:rRNA from 1 species
AAUAGAUACCCGGGUAGUCCACCCCGUAAACGUUGGGAACUAGUUGUGGGGUCCUUUCCACGGAUUCCGUGACGCAGCUAACGCAUUAAGUUCCCCGCCUGGGGAGUACGGCCGCAAGGCUAAAACUCAAAGGAAUUGACGGGGACCCGCACAAGCGGCGGAGCAUGCGGAUUAAUUCGAUGCAACGCGAAGAACCUUACCAAGGCUUGACAUACACCAGAACACCCUAGAAAUAGGGGACUCUUUGGACACUGGUGAACAGGUGGUGCAUGGUUGUCGUCAGCUCGUGUCGUGAGAUGUUGGGUUAAGUCCCGCAACGAGCGCAACCCUCGUUCUAUGUUGCCAGCACGUAAUGGUGGGAACUCAUGGGAUACUGCCGGGGUCAACUCGGAGGAAGGUGGGGAUGACGUCAAAUCAUCAUGCCCCUUAUGUCUUGGGCUUCACGCAUGCUACAAUGGCCGGUACAAAGGGCUGCAAUACCGUGAGGUGGAGCGAAUCCCAAAAAGCCGGUCCCAGUUCGGAUUGAGGUCUGUAACUCGACCUCAUG